UAGUCCACGCCGUAAACGAUGGUUACUAGCUGUUCGGACUUCGGUUUGAGUGGUUAAGCGAAAGUGAUAAGUAACCCACCUGGGGAGUACGUUCGCAAGAAUGAAACUCAAAGGAAUUGACGGGGGCCCGCACAAGCGGUGGAGCAUGUGGUUUAAUUCGAUGAUACGCGAGGAACCUUACCAGGGCUUAAAUGUAGAUUGACAGGAUCAGAGAUGGUUUUUUCUCGGACAAUUUACAAGGUGCUGCAUGGUUGUCGUCAGCUCGUGCCGUGAGGUGUCAGGUUAAGUCCUAUAACGAGCGCAACCCCUGUUGUUAGUUGCCAGCACAUUAAGGUGGGAACUCUAACAAGACUGCCGGUGCAAACCGUGAGGAAGGUGGGGAUGACGUCAAAUCAUCACGGCCCUUACGUCCUGGGGCCACACACGUGCUGCAAUGGUAAGGACAGAGAGCAGCCACUGGGGU
rnacentral:rRNA from 1 species